UAUUUUCUAGUAGAAAUAAUUGUUUAUAAUCAUUUUCUAUUGAUUUUUCUAGGUUUGAAGUUCUGAGUUUUCUCAUGCUAUGCUAUAAUUCUGCCAUUGUAUAUAUGCCUGCCUCAUCUUACCAGUCUCUUUGUCGGAUGGGCUCCAGGGUUUGUGUGAGUGGGUUUCCACGGCAACACGAAAAACACUGGAAGGAGCUCUGUGGUCGAAUAGUUUUGGAUCCUGAAUUUAUGGUGCAACUUCUCACUGGGGUUUAUUAUGCUAUGUAUAAUGGACAGUGGGACCUUGGCCAGGAAGUACUUGAUGACAUCAUUUAUAGAGCUCAGCUAGAACUCUUUUCUCAGCCACUCUUGGU